CGAGUGUCAGUCGAGUUCGAAUUGUCAUGCGAAUUGCAUCGCAGAAGAGGAUUUGUGAUUUUGUGCGCUGUAAAAAUGGUAAAAUUGUACUCUCUGUGGCCAGUGGUGUGUGGUGGAAAGUAGUGAAGUGCCUGGGGAACAGUGCUGAGUUAAUUGGUGAUCGGGUGGACAGUGCCCAGUGGGUGUGGGAGUGAGAAAUUUGUGGUGGUUCUGAACAGUCUCAGUAGGCUGUGUUGUAGCCCCAAAGCAAGAUGGCGGCCAGUCGGACCCGCAUGCAGCAGAAGAAUAUUUCGUCCAUUCUGUCGAAGCUGCACGGGGCAUUCUCGGAUGCAUGUGGCCCCCAGAAGCUGUCGACAGACAAGAAAACCCUGGACAAAACGUGGAAGUUGAUGGAUAAAGUGGUUAAGCUGUGCCAGCAAUCAAAAAUGAAUCUGAAAAACAGCCCUCCGUUCAUCCUCGAUAUACUCCCGGACACGUAUCAGCGUCUCCGGUUGAUAUACUCCAAAUACGAGGAUCAGAUGCAUGUGCUACACUCCAAUGAGCACUUCAAUGUCUUUAUCAACAAUCUUAUGCGCAAAUGCAAGCAGGCCAUCAAGUUGUUCAAGGAGGGCAAGGAGAAGAUGUUCGAUGAGAAUUCCCACUAUAGGCGCAAUCUCACCAAACUAAGCCUUGUCUUCUCCCACAUGCUAAGUGAACUCAAAGCCAUCUUCCCAAGUGGACUCUUUGCCGGUGACCAGUUCCGGAUCACCAAAGCGGACGCCGCUGACUUCUGGAAGAGCAACUUCGGAAACAGUACUCUAGUCCCAUGGAAAGUGUUUCGGCAGGAACUCUCCAAAAUUCAUCCGAUAUCUUCAGGCCUAGAGGCGAUGGCACUUAAAACAACGAUAGACCUAACGUGCAAUGACUACAUAUCGAAUUUCGAGUUUGAUGUUUUCACGAGACUGUUUCAACCGUGGAGUACACUGUUGAGAAAUUGGCAAAUUUUGGCUGUUACUCAUCCCGGCUAUGUUGCAUUUCUAACAUAUGACGAGGUGAAGGCACGACUACAAAAGUAUAUUCAUAAAGCGGGAAGUUAUGUAUUUAGGUUAUCGUGUACUCGAUUGGGUCAGUGGGCGAUAGGUUAUGUGACGGCAGAAGGAGAAAUUCUUCAAACUAUACCUCAGAAUAAAUCCCUCUGUCAAGCACUUUUAGAUGGACACAGGGAAGGAUUCUACUUAUAUCCAGACGGACGGCUCACAAAUCCGGAUUUAUCUUUCGCUGUGCAGAGUCCUAUGGAGGAUCAUAUAACUGUGACACAAGAACAAUAUGAACUUUAUUGUGAGAUGGGAAGUACAUUUCAACUGUGCAAAAUUUGUGCGGAAAAUGAUAAAGAUAUUCGCAUAGAGCCAUGUGGACAUUUGCUAUGUACACCGUGUCUGAAUUCGUGGCAAGUGGAUUCGGAAGGACAGGGAUGUCCAUUUUGUCGGGCGGAAAUUAAGGGCACGGAGCAGAUUGUGGUAGAUGCCUUUGAUCCACGGAAGCAACAUAAUAGAAAUUCAGCAAAUGGAAAACAACAAAAUAUCGACGAUGACGACACUGAGGAUCUGGGGGAUUUCAACAUUGCUACGUCCUCUCUGCAUGCACUGAGUAAUAGUUUGUCGCGUACAGAAAAACAGAGUCCACACUCUUCCCCGCGAAUGCCAAGGAAGAGUACAACAUCGUCGUCGUCAUCGUGCUCGUCUGCGAGCUCAGGCAGUAGUUCCACGGCGCAACAUCAUUUUGAUUUGUAUGCCGGACAACCCAGUCAUUCGUCGGGGGGCAUCAAUGGGAGUCCGGGUGUCAAUGGGUUAGCGUGUUCGAGUAAAUCAAAUCGUAGUGGGAGUAGUGGAUCAUUGGCACAGGCACAAAAUCCAAAUAGGAUGAGUGCUCCAGUGAUUUCAAAUGUUGCCCCAGUUGGGAAGAUUCUGCACAAAGCCCUAUCGUCAGAUCCAACGGGUGGGGGUUUGGUGGAAACAGCUCCACCUUUGCCACCGAGAAAAUCCUCUCCGGGUAUCGAUCAGGUGCCUCAGGCGCCAAGAGGAGCAGGAGGAGGUGGUAGUGGGAAUGUGGCAAAGUCUUCCAAUGCAUCUAGUCUUAUAACACUGUCCCCGGAUGCUCCAAUGGCAAGUACUUCGGCCAUCCCAGUGGAUCCUAUUAUGAGUUGUUGUGAUCUAGAAGUGCCCAAGACAUGUGCACCACCUGUUCCCAAGCAUCAGACCAAUCUGGUGGAUACCAUUGCGGAGGAUUUUACAAUGCACGUGACUGUACAGAAGGAGGAUGAAGUUCUUGAGGAUGAGGGUAUUAUUGUGGGACCAGCUGAAACAAUUUCUGGAAUUAUUGAUACACGUCCCUUGGAAGCGAGAAAGCCCAUUUCUGUGGUAAGUCAGAGUGUGCCGUUGGGAAAGGAGGCGGCGACAGAUCGUGGUAAUAAUCUCUAUCAAUUGAAAACAACGCAAAAUCAUACAAGGCACCAAUCCUUGCCUAUGAAUACAGCCACAAAGUCCCCAACUCCCGCCAAAUCUGUCACAGUGGCUCAGCUGUGUCAGCCACGGACAGCUGUGACAACAACAGCUGCCGGUGGAGCUGAUGCACAGUCUGCACGCCAUCAGGCCAUUCUCUAUGAAAAUGUGACAAUCAACAGCAAAGACUGCAAUGUGCCAUAUGAGAAUAUCAAUCUCGAGUACAUCGCUAGGCUGGUCAAUGAGGGCUAUUCCAAGGAGAAUGCAAUAACUGCCCUUGGUAUCUCACGCAAUAAUAUUGAGAUGGCAUGUGACAUUUUGCAUGAAUUUGUGGCCAAAAGUGGCGUGUGAAAUUGUCACAAUGACAUUGGAAUCUUCUAUCCAAAAAAGGCAGCUAAUAAAACAAAGAAAAAAAAAGAAACUUCAACAUCCUAAAUAUUUCUUCUAAAAACAAAAAAUACAACCAACAAACAACAAAAAGUUCUUUUUCUAAUCACUAUAAAUGAAUAUUUAGGAAUAUAAGAGUGGAAUGGAUAAAAUUCUAUAUUUUUUUACGCAAGAACACGCAACAAGAAAAAAAACACAAAAUUUUUCAUUUGCCCAAAUAAGAAAAUAAAUACAAGAAGAAUUUCAAUUAAUUGAAAAGGUAAAUUUUUCUAGAAAGAAAAAGAAAAAAAUGUGGCAUGAAAAAGUUUUGUAUAAAAUCUAUAAAUAUUGAAUUUAAAUAUUUAGAGAGAAUGAGAAAAUGCUAGAGAAAAUGCAAAAGAGAAAUUGAAAUAUAUUUAUACUCUUUUUGAUAGAAAAUUUUCACACACUGCAAAAAAAAAGUUAAAAAAAAAUACAAAAUUUUCUUUUGAAAAUUGUCAAUAUUUUUGCAAAAACAAGGUGGAAAAAAACAAGCGGAUAAAAGAGAAAAAAAAAGAAUGAGGCAAGUAAAACACAGAUUUUAUUUUCUUAUUAGAUAGAUAUUUCUAAUUUUGUCUCGUAUUUGUAUAUUUUUGCAAUUUAAAAUAGUUUGUACAUUUUUUCAACGCGAGAAAAAGUCCCUUUGAAUUGUUUUUCCCUCCUCGAAAGUGAAAUGGGAAAAAGAAUUCUAAUAAUUACAGUAAUUAAUUUCCUCUAAUUUAUUGCGAUGCAACAGAUGAUGAAAUAAUGAAAAAUCCCUAACAUUAAUUACACAACAAGAAAAAAAAAGGAAAAAAUAAUUAUUGAAAUUGUCCCUAAGAAGAAUCUUAUUAGAUAUUUCAAUCAGGAAGUUCAUUAGAUCUUAAGUGAGUGAGAAUACAAUUGAAAGAGAGAGAGAGAGAGAGAAUUGUGGUAGAUUAGAACGAAGAGUGCGAAAUGAGAAAAUGAUGUAUAAAAUUAAUGAAGCUUAAUAAAUUAUUAGAUGGGAAAA